CCACACGAAGCUGGAAUCGCUAGUAAUCGCGAAUCAGAAUGUCGCGGUGAAUACGUUCCCGGGUCUUGUACACACCGCCCGUCACACCAUGGGAGUCAGCAACGCCCGAAGUCAGUGACCUAACCGAAAGGGAGGAGCUGCCGAAGGCGGGGCCGGUAACUGGGGUGAAGUCGUAACAAGGUACC
rnacentral:rRNA from 1 species